rnacentral:misc_RNA from 1 species
GAAUUAUUCUCAGUUGAGUAAUCAACUAGGCUCAGAUAUGUCACGAAAUCGGGAAAAUGAAAGGGAUACCGCCAUAGCUGCAAACCAGAAUAGCAUACAACAACAAUCUAGUUGGAUAAGCUAAAUGAAUUCCUAAUAUCUCUUCCACUCAAUCACGUCCCAAUAGUCGUUGCACCAUUUAAAACACAGUUUAGUUAUCCUUACCAAGAUUUGGGUUUGAGCUGAGCAAAACCCGAUUAAC